rnacentral:rRNA from 1 species
UACGGAGGGUGCAAGCGUUAUCCGGAAUCAUUGGGUUUAAAGGGUCCGUAGGCGGGAUAAUAAGUCAGAGGUGAAAGCCUGCAGCUCAACUGUAGAACUGCCUUUGAUACUGUUAUUCUUGAGUUGUUGUGAAGUAGUUAGAAUAAGUAGUGUAGCGGUGAAAUGCAUAGAUAUUACUUAGAAUACCGAUUGCGAAGGCAGAUUACUAACAACAUACUGACGCUGAUGGACGAAAGCGUGGGGAGCGAACAGG